rnacentral:tRNA from 1 species
GCUGCUAUAGCUCAGCUGUUAGAGCGCACACUUGGUCAGGGUGACGUCUGAAGUUCGAAUCUGCCUGUCAUCACCA